rnacentral:pre_miRNA from 1 species
AUGUGGCACUUUUUAGAUUUCGAGAUUCAAACAAGUCUAACUUUGACCGUAAAUUUUUCAUAGAUCUUUAAAACAUUUUGAAUUAUCAAUUGUUGUGACUUAUAGUACUUUUUACAUAGUUACAAAUAUAUAAAUUUCAUUUCAAAAAAAUUAAAGAUUUUAUGUGCAAAUUCCCGAUCAAACUUAAACUGUUUGACUCUCGAAAAACGAAAAGUGACACAUAA